CCUACGGGAGGCAGCAGUGGGGAAUAUUGCGCAAUGGGCGCAAGCCUGACGCAGCGACGCCGCGUGAGGGAUGAAGGUCUUCGGAUCGUAAACCUCUGUCAGCAGGGAAGAACGGUCACUGUGCUAAUCAGCAGUGAAUUGACGGUACCUGCAAAGGAAGCACCGGCUAACUCCGUGCCAGCAGCCGCGGUAAUACGGAGGGUGCGAGCGUUAAUCGGAAUUACUGGGCGUAAAGCGCCCGUAGGCGGUAUGUCAAGUCAAGGGUGAAAUCCCCGCGCUCAACGUGGGAACUGCGUUUGAAACUGGCAAGCUGGAGUGUGUGAGAGGAUAGUGGAAUUCGAGGUGUAGGAGUGAAAUGCGUAGAUAUCUGGAGGAACAUCGGUGGCGAAGGCGACUAUCUGGCACAUCACUGACGCUGAGGAGCGAAAGCGUGGGUAGCAAACAGGAUUAGAUACCCGGGUAGUC
rnacentral:rRNA from 1 species